rnacentral:rRNA from 1 species
UGGGGAAUAUUGCACAAUGGGCGCAAGCCUGAUGCAGCCAUGCCGCGUGUGUGAAGAAGGCCUUCGGGUUGUAAAGCACUUUCAUCGGGGAGGAAGGCGGUGAGGUUAAUAACCUCACCGAUUGACGUUACCCGCAGAAGAAGCACCGGCUAACUCCGUGCCAGCAGCCGCGGUAAUACGGAGGGUGCAAGCGUUACUCGGAAUUACUGGGCGUAAAGCGCACGCAGGCGGUCUGUCAAGUCGGAUGUGAAAUCCCCGGGCUCAACCUGGGAAAUGCAUUCGAAAGUGGCAGGCUAGAGUCGUGUAGAGGGGGGUAGAAUUCCAGGUGUAGCGGUGAAAUGCGUAGAGAUCUGGAGGAAUACCGGUGGCGAAGGCGGCCCCCUGGACAAAGACUGACGCUCAGGUGCGAAAGCGUGGGGAGCAAACAGG